UACGAAGGGGGCUAGCGUUGUUCGGAAUUACUGGGCGUAAAGGGCGCGUAGGCGGCAUGACAAGUCACUUGUGAAAUCUUCGGGCUUAACCCGGAACGGCCAAGUGAUACUGUCGCGCUAGAGUGCAGAAGGGGCAAUCGGAAUUCUCGGUGUAGCGGUGAAAUGCGUAGAUAUCGAGAGGAACACCAGAGGUGAAGACGGGUUGCUGGGCUGACACUGACGCUGAGGCGCGAAAGCCAGGGGAGCAAACGGG
rnacentral:rRNA from 1 species